AAAAGGUUAAUCUCGACAAAGUAACUUGCAGGCGUGAAGCAAGUUCAUCCUGACAUAAUCUUGGAAAGAGGAAUUGUAGCUUUUCAGCCUAUGAAACCAAGGUGCUAUGCUUAAGCCGAGAAGGUACUCAUAUAACGAUAAUAAUAGAGUUGUGGCAGAUGAAAACAAUAUAGAAAAGGAAUAUGAUGUCCACGACAAGCAGGUGUAGGUCCAAAGAAAGAAAUAGAAUUGUCAGUGACAAAGAGAUCCUUAGAAAGCAGCUAACUAAAAUAUGCUUAAAUGUUCUUUUUAUCUCACAUUUAAUAUAAGAAGAAAAAAGUGUUUU
rnacentral:misc_RNA from 1 species